UACGUAGGGUGCGAGCGUUGUCCGGAAUUAUUGGGCGUAAAGAGCUCGUAGGCGGCUUGUCGCGUCGGAUGUGAAAGCCCGGGGCUUAGCUCCGGGUCUGCAUUCGAUACGGGCAGGCUAGAGUUCGGUAGGGGAGAUCGGAAUUCCUGGUGUAGCGGUGAAAUGCGCAGAUAUCAGGAGGAACACCGGUGGCGAAGGCGGAUCUCUGGGCCGAUACUGACGCUGAGGAGCGAAAGCGUGGGGAGCAAACAGG
rnacentral:rRNA from 1 species